rnacentral:rRNA from 1 species
GUGAGGAAUUUUCCGCAAUGGGCGAAAGCCUGACGGAGCAAUGCCGCGUGAAGGAUGAAGGCCUAUGGGUUGUAAACUUCUUUUCUCAGAAAAGAAUUAUGACGGUAUCUGAGGAAUAAGCAUCGGCUAACUCUGUGCCAGCAGCCGCGGUAAGACAGAGGAUGCAAGCGUUAUCCGGAAUGAUUGGGCGUAAAGCGUCUGUAGGUUGUUUAAAAAGUAUUCUGUCAAAGAUUAGGGCUUAACCCUAGAUAGGCAGAAUAAACUUUUAAGAUAGAGUUUGGUAGAGGCAGAGGGAAUUCCCGGUGGAGCGGUGAAAUGCGUAGAUAUCGGGAGGAACACCAAAGGCGAAGGCACUCUGCUGGGCCAAUACUAACACUGAGAGACGAAAGCGAGGGGAGCAAAUGGGAUUAGAAACCCGGGUAGUCC